GUGUGCGGCGCCACUGCAAAAGUGCGUGCCGCAGAGUUGCAAUUGGGCGGGGACUUUGGUCCCGCAGCGAAACAACUAGCAAAAAUGUGUGCUCCUUUAAACGCCGCCCGCCGCUUUUUACUUGAUUGUUGUGCCACGUUGCUCUUUUUAAGCUUUUUAAAUAUUAAUAUUGUUAUUUUUAAAGGAUUUAUACUUUGCGGGACAUU
ensembl:ncRNA F57B10.17 ncRNA